GCCCCUGACACCCUUGCCCCCCGUCCGCUUGCCAAGUGCAUCCACACGCCUCCAUGUAGCGGCACUUUCACCUUUACCAUCUUCGUUGCUCGCGCUGGCGGUGUCGUCGCACCUAUCCUCUCACUGACUGCCUCUGAUAGUGUCGUCCCCACAUAUGCCCUAACCUCCUUCCUCUCCUCCCACUGGUGUGCGACAAGAAAUGGAAAAUGAAAGGCCUCUUUGUCCUUGUGGAAGAGGUGUGAUGAAGCUCUAUAUUUUUAAAAAGCAAGUUACGGGCAUUACUUCUAUCGUUGUCCUGAUUGGCAAGCGAGUAUAAAGGACCAAAAGUUGCUCAGCCGAAUGGUGUGAUACAAUGGGAUCGAAACAAACACAACAUUAAUUACGGAAAGUGGCUUGUUUCUACUUAUUGUGGAUGCAAUGCAUGUCUCAUUUUCUUAUUAACCUUGGUGGGGCUAAUUUUACUUUUAUUCAUUCUACGUGGAUUGCAGGUAUCAUGUGUACAAUCUCUCAAAACAUGCUUUUGACAAUGUACGACGUUUAAGAGUGUUUUAUCUAAUGAAAAAUUAGCUUUUUGAUAUGGUCUAAUGGAAAAUUA